rnacentral:rRNA from 1 species
GAUGAACGCUGGCGGCGUGCCUAAUACAUGCAAGUCGAGCGAAAACACGAGGAGCUCGUUCCUCUGCCGUUAGCGGCGGACGGGUGAGUAACACGUGGAUAACCUACCUAUAAGACUGGGAUAACUUCGGGAAAACGGAGCUACUAAUGCAAAAUAUCUUCAACAGCAUGGUUCAAUAGUGAUAGACGCUUUUGCUGUCACUUAUAGAUGGAUCCGUCUCGCAUUAGCUAGUUGGUAAGGUAACGGCAUAUCAAGGCAACGAUGCGUAGCCGACCUGAGAGGAUGAUCAGCCACACUGGAACUGAGACACGGUCCAGACUCCUACGGGAGGCAGCAGUAGGGAAUCUUGCGCAAUGGGCGAAAGCCUGACACAGCAACGCCGCGUAAGUGAUGAAGGUCUUCGGAUCGUAAAGCCCUUUUAUUAGGGAAGAACAAAUGUGGAAGGAACUAGACACGUCUUGACGGUACCUAAUGAGAAAGCCACGGCUAACUACGUG